GACGAACGCUGGCGGCGUGCUUAACACAUGCAAGUCGAACGAUGAACCCGGAGCUUGCUCCGGUGGAUUAGUGGCGAACGGGUGAGUAACACGUGAGUAACCUGCCCUUGACUCUGGGAUAACUGCGGGAAACUGUAGCUAAUACCGGAUACGACCCUCGGCGGCAUCGCCAGGGGGUGGAAAGAAUUUCGGUCAAAGAUGGACUCGCGGCGUAUCAGCUAGGUGGUGAGGUAACGGCUCACCAAGGCGACGAAGGGUAGCCGGCCUGAGAGGGUGACCGGCCACCCGGGGACUGCGACAAGGCCCAGACUCCUACGGGAGGCAGCAGUGGGGAAUAUUGCACAAUGGGCGCAAGCCUGAUGCAGCAACGCCGCGUGAGGGAUGACGGCCUUCGGGUUGUAAACCUCUUUUAGUAGGGAAGAAGCGAAAGUGACGGUACCUGCAGAAAAAGCACCGGCUAACUACGUGCCAGCCGCCGCCGUAA
rnacentral:rRNA from 1 species